AGAGAGAGAGAGAGAAAGCUUAGUUUAGAGAGAGAAAAGAAAGUUGAAUUUUAGAGAGAAAAAUAAGUUUAGAGAGAAAUAUAAGGUUAGUGUAAAGAAAAAUAAUAUCAAUUAGCCGGCGGGUAAGAAAAAAGAAAGAGAUUAGAUAUAUUAUGAUUACCCCAAUUCAUUAAUAUGAGGAUACCCACCAUCCCUCAAGGAAAUGAGAUUAGUACUUUGGGGUGAAUCUUAUUCCCAAGUGAAUCUUAUUCCCAAGUGAAUCUUAUUCCCAAGUGAAUCCAAUAUAACCAACUAGAUUACUUAGUGCGUUUAGCCAAACACCGUCAUACUUUUUUUAAUCCCAUUGGAUUACUAGGAAUCUUUAAAAGAUAGCGCAAACCAAACGCACCCUUAGAGUAUUAACAUAACAAAUUAAAGAAGCUUAAGUUUAGCUG
rnacentral:lncRNA from 1 species